rnacentral:rRNA from 1 species
UACAGAGGUCUCAAGCGUUGUCCGGAUUCACUGGGCGUAAAGGGUGCGUAGGCGGGUCUUUAAGUCAGGGGUGAAAUCCUGGAGCUCAACUCCAGAACUGCCUUUGAUACUGAAGAUCUUGAGUUCGGGAGAGGUGAGUGGAACUGCGAGUGUAGAGGUGAAAUUCGUAGAUAUUCGCAAGAACACCAGUGGCGAAGGCGGCUCACUGGCCCGAUACUGACGCUGAGGCACGAAAGCGUGGGGAGCAAACAGG